rnacentral:lncRNA from 1 species
AAGCGGGAUGCAUUUUAGGCAGACUUGGAACUCUGAAACUCAUGGAGACUUUGAGGAUUAUAAAAAAUAUGUAGUGUGUCUCUCCACAAGACAACUUUCCAGCCCAAAGUCACUGGGAUAGCAGGAUAUUGCAUUUGUGAUCCUCCUCGGCCCUUCGCAUGGGGAGUGUGGGAGUGGUGAGGUCUGGGAGAUCACGACCUUAAUUCUCUCCAAGACAGACGGUUUAAUUAACACUGGAGGAAUCCUCACUGGCUCCAGACCUCUACAAUGGGAAUGUGCACGGGAAUUGGAUUGCCAAGGCCCCCUUCUACGUAGUCCACAUUGCGAGAAGACCACCUCACAAGGAUUUUCCCCUUCACCAGGUGUGGCAGAGUGAGAGUCAGAGAGAUCACCUGGUCUAGACUGGAACUGUCAGGAUCCUCAAAGAAACCUGUGUGGAAAUGGAGAAGUUUAUGAAGAUAAAGAGGAAAACAGCUUGAUGGAGAAAAAAACUGUUAAAUGAUGUCUAUUUGUCACAUAUAAGGUAACAUCUAAUUGUCAUCAUACGUUGUCCUCCAACUGGAUCUCAUGUAUUUCACUUUAAAUAUAUGAGCAACAAUCUGGUGGCUUUGGAGCUUUUGGAUGUGCAACUACUAAGGGUUAUGAAGUGUUACUUUUUGCAGGAUAUCACUAGCUAAAAAUAAAUUAUUAUUAUUAUUGUUAUUUAUCAAUUGCAUAUUCAAG